rnacentral:rRNA from 1 species
GACGAACGCUGGCGGCGUGCCUAAUACAUGCAAGUUGAGCGCUGAAGGUUGGUACUUGUACCAACUGGAUGAGCAGCGAACGGGUGAGUAACGCGUGGGGAAUCUGCCUUUGAGCGGGGGACAACAUUUGGAAACGAAUGCUAAUACCGCAUAAAAACUUUAAACACAAGUUUUAAGUUUGAAAGAUGCAAUUGCAUCACUCAAAGAUGAUCCCGCGUUGUAUUAGCUAGUUGGUGAGGUAAAGGCUCACCAAGGCGAUGAUACAUAGCCGACCUGAGAGGGUGAUCGGCCACAUUGGGACUGAGACACGGCCCAAACUCCUACGGGAGGCAGCAGUAGGGAAUCUUCGGCAAUGGACGAAAGUCUGACCGAGCAACGCCGCGUGAGUGAAGAAGGUUUUCGGAUCGUAAAACUCUGUUGGUAGAGAAGACCGUUGGUGAGAGUGGAAAGCUCAUCAAGUGACGGUAACUACCCAGAAAGGGACGGCUAACUACGUG